rnacentral:lncRNA from 1 species
AGACAAAAGAUGAAAUUCUAGUGCUUUCAAGCUCUCCUGGGCAGGAUGGCUUUUCUUGAGAAGGAAAACAUUAUAGCUCCAGCAACACCAAGGAUCUCACCCAAUGUGCCAGACUGAAGGUGGAAAAUACCAUGCUUCCUGAGAUAUCCUAGGCAUCUAACUCAAAGGAUGCUGAACAGUGGCCUGGAGACACCAUGAAUUACCUGAGAUAAUUGAAUUAGGGAAUGGAAAAGGAGUACAUUCCACACAAAGGGGAAACAUGGACGGAAAUCCCAGAAGUAAAGAAAGAAAUGUACUUCAUUAGAACAACUCGACUUUUGUAUUGCCCAGUGCAGGUGAGGAUACCUUCCCAACUAGUCUUGUAUUUUCCCAAUGGUAACCACAAGCUAGUGUCUAAAAGGGGAAAAUAUACUCAUUUAGCCACACUGAUCAGUUGUCUUAGUUGACUCACCAAUUUCCUUUAAAAUAGG